UACGGAAGGCAGCAGUGGGGAAUAUUGCACAAUGGGCGAAAGCCUGAUGCAGCUAUGCCGCGUGUAUGAAGAAGGCCUUAGGGUUGUAAAGUACUUUCAUCGGGGAGGAAAAACAAAACUAAUAAUUUUAUUUCUUGACGUUACCCGAAAAAGAAGCACCGGCUAACUCCGUGCCAGCAGCCGCGGUAAUACGGAGGGUGCUAGCGUUAAUCAGAAUUACUGGGCGUAAAGAGCACGUAGGUGGUUUUUUAAGUCAGAUGUGAAAUCCCUGGGCUUAACCUGGAAACUGCAUUUUGAAACUGAAAUACUAGAGUAUCGUAGAGGGAGGUAGAAUUCUAGGUGUAGCGGUGAAAUGCGUAGAAUAUCUGGAGGAAUACCUGUGGCGAAAGCGGCCUCCUAAACGAAUACUGACACUGAGGUGCGAAAGCGUGGGGAGCAAACAGGGAUUAGAUACC
rnacentral:rRNA from 1 species